GAACGCUAGCUACAGGCUUAACACAUGCAAGUCGAGGGGCAGCAUGAGGUUUGCUUGCAAACCUUGAUGGCGACCGGCGCACGGGUGAGUAACGCGUAUCCAACCUUCCCAUAACUGGAGAAUAACCCGGUGAAAGCCGGACUUAAUACCCCAUAAUCCCCGUUGACGGCAUCCGAUUCGGGGCAAAGUUUUUUUCGGCAGCGGAUGGGGAUGCGUCCGAUUAGUUUGUUGGUGAGGUAACGGCUCACCAAGGCUUUGAUCGGUAGGGGUUCUGAGAGGAAGGCCCCCCACAUUGGGACUGAGACACGGCCCAAACUCCUACGGGAGGCAGCAGUGAGGAAUAUUGGUCAAUGGGCGUAAGCCUGAACCAGCCAAGUAGCGUGGAGGACGACUGCCCUAUGGGUUGUAAACUCCUUUUAUGCGGGGAUAAAAUGUUUCACGUGUGAGAUAUUGCAGGUACCGCAUGAAUAAGGACCGGCUAAUCC
rnacentral:rRNA from 1 species